UACAAAGGAUGCAAGCGUUGUUCGGAAUUAUUAAACGUAAAGGACGCAUAAACGACGCGACAAAUCACCUGUGAAAUCUCCAAGCUUAACUCGGAGCCUGCAGGCGAAACUGUCGUGCUGGAGUAUGGGAGAGAUGCAUGGAAUUCCCGGUGUAGCGGUGAAAUGCGUAGAUAUCAAAAGGAACACCUGUGGCGAAAGCGGCGCACUGGACCAUAACUGACGCCGAGGCGCGAAAGCUAGGGGAGCAAACAGG
rnacentral:rRNA from 1 species